CUUCGUCGUUGUCGCAUUCGGCCAUUCGGCUAAGCCACUAAGCCCUAAGCCAAGGCAACACUGGACAAGACAAGAACGCUUGGGUUUGUGGUCGUCUGUCUCCGCAUUCUCGGUUGUCGCAACUUUUGCCGGUCACAACAAUGUCAUAUCUGCUCAGAACCGCUCUCCGUCGACACCCAUUCAAGCCGGCUCUGUGUAUGUCUUCAUGUUCGACAGAAGCGGCAGAACCAAAGCCCGUCCCACCCUCAGAGGACCCAGCAAGGAAAGGGCAGAUAGCGAAACGGUAUCCCCGCUUAUGUUCUACUUGAAGAAGGCAGGAAAUAUGUGUGGUGUGCCUGUGGUCUGAGCAAUAAGCAGCCAUUUUGCGAUUCCUCCCACAAGAAGAUGGAGCACCCGAUCAAGCCCAUACACUUUACUGUAAAGGAGACAAAGAAGUACCUUCUCUGCAGGUGCAAGCAGACGAAUAAUAG